UACGGAAGGCAGCAGUGGGGAAUAUUGCACAAUGGGCGCAAGCCUGAUGCAGCCAUGCCGCGUGUAUGAAAAAGGUCUUCGGGUUGUAAAGUACUUUCAGUCGUGAGGAAGGUGUUAAGGUUAAUAACCUUAGCAAUUGACGUUAGCGACAGAAGAAGCACCGGCUAACUCCGUGCCAGCAACCGCGGUAAUACGGAGGGUGCGAGCGUUAAUCGGAAUUACUGGGCGUAAAGGGCACGCAGGCGGUUAAUUAAGUUGGAUGUGAAAUCCCCGGGCUUAACCUGGGAAUGGCAUUCAAGACUGGUUAGCUAGAGUCUUGUAGAGGGGGUAGAAUUCCAUGUGUAGCGGUGAAAUGCGUAGAGAUGUGGAGGAAUACCGGUGGCGAAGGCGGCCCCUGGACAAAGACUGACGCUCAUGUGCGAAAGCGUGGGGAGCAAACGAGGGAUUAGAUAC
rnacentral:rRNA from 1 species